AAGUUAUAGUGUUUACAAUGGAAAUUGUUUGAAAGCAGACUUAUCCCCAUAUCCCAGUCCAGGAAAACUUAACUGUGUACCAUCUGAUGCUAAACUUUUGCUGUCUACCUAUUAUGGCACUGGUGAUAACAAGUACGAGAUUGAUGUUUAUGAAUAUAUGAUAGAUGGAAAGAAAAUGGAAAUGAGCGUAAAUAAAGGAUCAUGUGUUCCUGUUGGACAGCAUCAACAAAUCACCAACGGAUUUGCCGAUAUUGGCUUCAUGGGAAUCACCGAAGGAAUAAAAGACCCAUCAGUGUUUGAUAUCCCGCCAGAGUGCAAUAAUGCAGGAACAGUUUCUCCGAGAAUGCAUUAUGUUAAAAAACCUGGACAUGUUUAAUGGUGGAAAAUUUAAAAUAAAGAAAGAAAUAACUUCAGUUGGAAAAAACUAUAUAGAUCAUAAUUGUAAAUACAGC